CAGAAUGGCCACGGGUACCUUUUCGGCUCUCCUAGCUCUUUCGGCCGGUUGGCGAGUGGCUUUUGUGUAGGCAAAUGAUCGAUUCUUCGAUAAUUCUCACUCCAUCGUUAAGUCAGGGCUCAAGGACGGACAUUUACUUGUCCCACAAAGUCACCCUAUUGGCCCGUUACAACUUUGGAAGAUCAAGACACAACUUCUUUUAUCCUGUCGUUUUGACAGGUUGAAGUUACGAAAAGUCGAUAAGAGUUGGGGGCUCUACGCGCAAGCACCCACCUAGAGGGUCCCCUUAGACUUUGACUUUACAUCUUAUAGAACUGACCAUACUUGUACACACGAUACGAGUACAAGUGACGAGCUCUUUGAUCCAAUGCUUGUAGCUACUCGGAAUGUAAACUGUUUUCUUGUCCUCUGUAGGACGUUUGAGUGGCUAUGAUGUUAUUCGGCUUGGUCAAAUUUGAUCAAUCUGAUUUUUCCUGAUUUUUGC
rnacentral:misc_RNA from 1 species